rnacentral:rRNA from 1 species
UACGUAGGACGCAAGCGUUAUCCGGAGUUACUGGGCGUAAAGCGCGGGCAGGCGGUCGGUCAAGUCUGAUGUGAAAUCUCUCCGCUCAACGGGGAGCAGCCAUUGGAAACUGGGCGACUGGAGUCUGACAGAGGUAGGCGGAAUUCCGGGUGGAGUGGUGAAAUGCGUAGAGAUCCGGAGGAACACCAGAGGCGAAGGCGGCCUACUGGGUCAGUACUGACGCUGAGGCGCGAAAGCCAGGGGAGCGAACGGG